rnacentral:lncRNA from 1 species
UUGUCUUACACAAUUGCAUUUAUCUGUGAUUAAAUCAACAGUGCAUUCGCGCAGCCACGUCACACUCUCGUCGUGGCAGCUCCUUUCAAGAGGACCUCCAGCAAGCUCGCUGUGAGUUCAGGAAUGCUCCUGCCAGGUUUGCCAAACUUGUUAGUUUCGCGGGAGACGAGAAAGAAAUUAAGGCUACGCAAGACUCAAACAACGAGGCCGUUACAAUAAGUGAUAGCCCCGUGGGCAGUGGCCAUCAAUAAGGUCUUAUUUUGCCAUUCUGGAUCACUGGAAAAACAAGUCAUCUCUUCAAAAACCUACACAUUUCUAAUAUCACAAGAAGACUGCACUGAUUUGGCAAAAUAAUUCUUGAAAUUUAUUGCAGGAAUUGUACUGAAUCUAUACUGGUUUACUGUCUUGAAUACCGGCAUAUAAGAUUUUCAAUGAAGUGCACAAGAGUUUGUUAUCUUUUAAAAGAUCGUUGUUAUUUCUGCGAAACCAAGAAAAAUGACGACAAAGGAGGUAAAAAUAACACAUCGAAAUCAUGUAAACUGUUAAUUAUGAUUCCAUAAAUUAAAAACGUUUUUUGUAUACAAAAACAUUCCGUUAAAAUCGGAAAUUGGUGUAAUCUUGGUGAAUGAAAUGACAGCGAAUAAAGGAAUUUAAACACUGUUUUGCUGAUCAAGUUGGCUGAUGUCGUUCAUCAUAGCUACAAUACACACACCAAAUUAGGUUGUAGUAAUCGGAAGUGAAAACUUCAGUAGCUGUGUUACACUUUGAAUAAAUAACAGUGAUAAGCGUAUUUUAAUACAUUUAAUCAAAGGCUCCUGUGAGCAGCUCAUGGAUGAAUGUUUCCUUUUGCCUCUGUUUCAAAAACGAGUCUCUGUGCAAAAACCUUUCACAUAAAAAUGAGUUAAUGAACCUGUAGGUGAAAGUCAUAUGAAUGGUUUUGUACUUAGACUCCUUUGGACACAAAGACAAAACACAACUUGGAAAUGGCCUAUUGGAUGAAUGUACAAAACAUAGUUGAAUAAAAAGAGAAGAGGAAUUGAUCAUUGUAGAGUUGUUCUUGGUACUGCAGUGGAAAACAGGAAAAGAAACAUCAGUUGGUCAAAUGAGAUGGAUAGAUUUUGAUGUCCAAAUAUGGUUGUUUAUUGACACCCUUUAGGUGGUUGAAUUCGUUCUCUGGUAAAAUUGUUUUAUAAUAAAUAAUUAUUUAUUACAUGUUUGAAAUAAAUCUCAACAGCUAGAGCACAACAACAAACAUCAAGUUUAACACUGCUUUUAUUAGGAACAUUUUCUUUCUUUUUAAGUCCACUGAAAUACUGACUAACAUAAUGUAGCACAUAAAAGCUAAGAGGAGACAUUGUAGCCAACAGUCUCCUAUACAUGUACAUGUAGAUCAGAUUAUACAUUUUUUUGGCUGAGUUAUAAAUAACAUAAUCUUAACAGCAACAGGACACACAUGUAGUAGAAUUACAGCAUGAUAACCACCAUUUUAAGAAUUGAAUGAAAAUUCAACAGGUAUAAGCUGAAACAGUUAGGAUAGCUUAUACUAUAAUAAACAUUGCAAGAUUUGUAUUUAAUUAAUAGAGAGAGAUUAACAUAUUCUAUUUUUGUGUUCCUUAAUGAUGGAGUCUAGUAUUUUCCUUUAAUUGUAGUCCUAAUAUAAACGACUGAUGUUUCUNUACAUGUAUAUAUUCAUGUAUAUGAACAUGAUAUGGAGCUGCUAAUUUUAAGUUGAAGUUGUAUUUCUGUAUUCCACUGUAAAGCUGUAGGUUCUGAGUUAAGUUUUGACACAUGUAGUGAGUUAAGGUGGAUUUCACUUGUCAACAUUCUUAACUUUAAGAACCUACAUGGACAAAGUUCCAAAGUGUUUCCAACUCUGUAAUUAUACUGUAAAUCCUCGAAUUAGCAGCGCCCCCUCGAAUAAGUGCCCCCUUGUCUUCUCCUAAAUUUGAAAUAAGCGUCCCGGGCACUAAUUUGAGGAUUUACAGUGUGCAGUUUCGAGAGCCAUUUUAUGUGCUUGUAGCCAAUGUCUUUUGCAAAGAAUGAGUUUCGACAGUUCAAGUGGCAGCUAAAUGUAACACAAGUGUUGAAAGCCUCUUAUUCUCUUCCUAAGUAGGUCAGUAUUCCACAUCCACCUGUAAUUCUCAGACUAAUUCCAUGAAGUCUUAAGGGUGACUUGUGUUGUUAAAGCCGGUUUCUAUGAAGUCUUCUACUAUUAUUUUUGGCAGCUGAUAAACAUGUAUAGCAUCAGUAAUGUUGUUGUUAAUAUUAACAUUUGCUUACUGUCACUUGCAUAUUAUAGUAUACUGUAGUUGUUACCAGUGUUCAUCUGGGUUAUUUGCAUAUGCACAAUAGUACAAUACACCAAUUCCAGAAAAAAACCGGAAGUUGCACCCAAGCAAGGCUUAAUAGCCCUUGAGCUUUCAAAAUGGUGGACGAAAUGCGGGGGAAGAACGAAAAAAUUCAAAUGUAUGUAGGUUAGAGCUGCUUGUCUGGAGCAAAUGUGGUAAAGAAAAGGAAAAGAGCUGGACACAAGUGUUGUGCCUUGUAGGAAUUUUCAUUAAUGUCAUAUAUUUGAUAGACAGCUUGUACUGGCAAGCAGGAAGGUUAUAAUCUUCAUCCCUUUUAUCCAACCAAGUAAAUCAGAACUGACUAUAAUUUACAUACCAAUUUUCUAAGGAAGACUGUUUUCCAACCAUGAACCAGAACUGCAAAUGUAAGAAUACAAGCUGAAAUGGCUACUAAGAGAAUAAAUGGAUGGCAUAUAUUUGAUGGUGUAACUCCACUAAGGUUGUGUAGAGUUGUUAAUCAAUCCUGGAUAGUGAGCUAUUAGCUUGUAAACUGGCAGAAAAAAAAGUUAUCUGAUGUUUAUUUGUCAUUUGGUAGUGAAUUUAAACAGAGUACACGAUAUUGUUCAACAGUGGUAAUUAAAUAUUUGGUGAUUUCCACCGUACUGAAAUUGUGCAUUAUGUGGCUUCAUGUUCUAUUUUCUGGCACGGGGUGUAACAUAGAAGGACACAUGGUACAGCUGGUCUAUAAUUUUGCUAAUAACAUAAAAGUACAAUUGAAUUUCUUGCAUAAGGACGAUAAACCGUAGGCCCCGUCUCACAGCACAUCACUGAUCUGGUUCUUGUGGGACGUUAAAGAACGCAUGAAAAGAGUAGGGGACGUAGAACCCGGUGUCGUGGUCUAUCUGACUUGUGCCAGUCAUUGGUCUGGGGUGGGCAAGGUGAGAUCAUACAUGGCCUGCCUGCCUGCCUGCCUGCCUGCCUACCUACCUACCUACCAGUUACUUCCAGUUUAUAGCCAGGGCAGUCCAAAGUCUGUUGUACAUUGUACAUCAUAAACUGAAGUUCAUAUGACUCUUGUUUACUUUUAAACCAGUGUCAAACAUUUUGCAUAUUGAUUUUAUAAGGCAAUCUUUCAGGGUCUCACUAUCCAUAACAAUGACUUUCCUAGCUUAAAUUAUUUCAUGGAGAUUGCCCUUACUUGGGUCUGUAACCUGAGUCCAGCUGGGGGACCCUGGGGAGGCGCCCAAAAUUUCCCUUUUCUCUUGAACAAAAAAAAAGCAUUAUUUUUGUUUCUUGCACCUUCGUCUAUCCCUGUUGAUGCAUUAUUUCAGUGUACUUGUCCAUUACUAGUUGUUAAUUUUCUACGCCAUCUUUCAUGGCAUGACUGAUAGUCUUUGUUACGUUACACUGUAGUACACUUCAUUGAUAAUUUUACUGGUGAUUUGAUUGAUGAAUCAGCUUUGUGAUUGCAUCCUACCCUGUAACACAAUGGUGCUGUCAGUGUACCGAACCCUUGCUUAUACCAUUCUUGGCGAGUAGAUCGUGGUCUUGUUUGAUACUCUGAUUAGCAUCUUUUGAACUGAAGGAUUUCCCUUUAUUCUCUAACACCAAUUGUUAAUUUAUGAAGAGAGAUCGGAUGUUCUCCAACUUAAGAAGACUGAACUCGUCAGUGAAAAAUGAAUCAGCCAUAGGAAAUUUGUUCAAGUGUUUUGUUGUAAUAUUCCCAAUAUCCGGCACAAGUUUUAAAUGUACUUCCGUAUGUUCUUUCGAGCUCUUGCUUCAUCAGUUUUACUACUUUAAGCUACAUUAGCUUUAGUAAAGCUAUUCUUCAGGUCAGGGUCGUAAAUUUUUAUAAUUUUCAUUUCAUUCAGAUUCUUUUUCCUAAACCGACCAUGAACAAAGUUCUUUUAGGCAAUAAAAAUGGUGAGAACAGGUU